UCCCGUUUAUCACCGGAUAAGUGUGAAACGUGCCUGAACCGAUUCCGUAGGUCUUAGAAGGAAUCGGCCCAGGCACGUUUUUUGC
rnacentral:ncRNA from 1 species